rnacentral:rRNA from 1 species
UACGAAGGGGGCUAGCGUUGCUCGGAAUCACUGGGCGUAAAGCGCACGUAGGCGGACUCUUAAGUCAGGGGUGAAAUCCUGGAGCUCAACUCCAGAACUGCCUUUGAUACUGGCAACCUAGAGACUGGAAGAGGUUAGUGGAAUUCCCAGUGUAGAGGUGAAAUUCGUAGAUAUUGGGAAGAACACCAGUGGCGAAGGCGGCUAACUGGUCCAGUACUGACGCUGAGGUGCGAAAGCGUGGGGAGCAAACAGG